rnacentral:tRNA from 1 species
GCCGCGGUGGCGGAACUGGAAUACGCGCAGGGCUCAGAACUCUGUCCCCGCAAGGGGUUGUGGGUUCGACUCCCACCCGCGGCA